rnacentral:lncRNA from 1 species
GCUUUUUUUGCAAAUAAAUAUUCCUUUAUCAUUUUCUUAAUAAAAUAUUUCAGGAAUUUACAAAAUAAAUAUUGAAUAAAAACUUCCAUCAUAUCCAUCGAAUAUUCACAAAACAAAGUUCAUCUCGUUGCAAAUUCCCAGACUCCCAAAAUCCACGCAACGCUACUCCGGAUCGAUUAAGGAGAAAAUUAGAUCUAGAGGACCGUUAUUGCACCGCGAUUACCAAUAUUGUAGUAUGCAUCGAUAAUCGAAUGGAUUCCCUAUCUAUCGAUUUUCGCUGAUGCAUCGAUAUUUCGUCAUUUGCCCGUUAAAUAUGCGUCCAUGCCUUUGUAAAGCCAUAUCUUUCGUUGGAUUGUUGCGUCAAAUGCAAUUCAUUCCGCGCGAUUGAUUCACCAUUGAAAAACUGUGUUGCAGUAUGCUUUGCCUUUCGAAAAGUAAUUAACAAGCAGGCUAGCGUGCAUUUAUUUAUUCCGGAAAUAUUCUGUUCGGGGAACAAGCGUGAAAUGCGAUCGGUCCUUGUCAUGUUGAGAUCACAGGAAUCGAACGUGAUGGAGCGGAAUUGAAAUAUAUACGUGUACAGGGAGUUCGGCUAUAGGUAUUUAAAAAAAAAAAGCCAAAAUAAAAUAGCUAUCAAGAAUAAAAAUAAAAAAAUCAGGACUUUAGUUAUUAACGAUUGAAAGAUAGACAAAAAUAUCCUUGAAAUAUUUCAGGUAAUUUUUUUAUUUUUGAUUUUUGUUUUAUUUUGAAUUAAAACAUCGCCUUUUAAAUUUUUAUAUUAUAUCUAUAAGUGAAUAUAUAUAUAUAAGAACAUAUACCAUUGAAUUUUUUAUUACGCUUUUAUUUUACGCUUUUGCACGGUUCGAGUAGAAAUUCCGCUGAAUGCGGCUGGUUGGUUGCAUAGCCGAUAUAACUGAUGCAAGGAAAGAACGAAUACACGCGAUAGAACUGCAAUAUUGGAUAGAUUUGUAAUACACGAGGGAUUCAGAACAAUCAGCCACAUAAAAUGUUGGUUUUAAAUGUUAAAAAUCAAAUGUCAUGAGAUUUGGGAAUCUGUAUUAUUUUAUCCUAAGUUAAUUUCAUGUGGAUAAUAUUUCAAAGAUAUAUUUGAAGAUUAGCCAAUAUGUGUAAUAUCAGCGCACAUAAAAUAGAAAAAAAAAGAAGGCACAAGAAAAAAGUUAAAGGAUCUAUUUUUUGAGAUUUAUAGCGCAAAGAUAAAAAACCAAUUUUUGCACGAUUUAAUAACCAGCUUUUCGUAGAGAAUAUAGAAAGAUUACAAUAUAAAAAAAUUUAAACUAGAGAUUUUAAACAUGAGAAGGCUAAACUUUAUAUUAUAUUUUAUACAACAAGUAAUUUCUCGGACUAGAUAAGAUACAUAAAAAAUUCUAAAGAACCAUAUCUUAAAAUCUAAAAUUAUUAUAGGUAAAAUAGGAAGGUUAACCUUUGAAUGGUUGAUUCAGCUAGCAGUGCACGUAAGAUAAGAUAAGCCGCAAGAAAGAAGCCAGAGAAGUCUAAAAUUUAGGACCCAAAUAUAGGCAAACAUAGGAAAAGCCAAGAAGAUCCCAAAAUUUAUGGCCUUAACAUAGGAAGACCAAUCUUGCACGGUUGAUUCAACAACCAAUUUCGCUUAGAGCGCAAAAUUGAAGCUAGAGAAUUCAUACCCAAGAAAUUAAUACUCGGAUAUAAGAAGACCAAACGAAAGAGGAGCAAUCAUCGAAUGUACACACACACAUGUAGCAUAUCUAACAGGUAGCCCGACAGCAGCACCACCACCACACCCAAACGAAGGGGAGUAGAACGUAAAGGGAAGCUGUAUCGAUUGGAGGCUUUGCUGGGUAACCACCGGCAGCUUCCGUUGGUCCUGCACUCUCCUCCAAAUCUCGCCAUUGGAAAGCCAACGAAUUUUACACCACGUGUUCCAUCGACCAUGUCCAAAGGUCCCGCUUGCUCGAGCUGCCAUGAAUAGACCCGAGUCUCGACUCGACUAACAGAUUUCGUGAUUCCUGUAAUUAAGUUAAUCGAAUCGCCUCUGCAUACAUGUUGGUCUGGCUUAAUAUACAAUCCCGCCACGACCAUUCUAACUAUUGGAGUUUAAAAUAGUACAUCAUGAAUUUUCAAAGGCGUUAGAAGAUAUUUUAAUUCUCUUCAGAAUCUGAAUCUGACGAUGAUUCGUUGAUUGUUUCUAAAUCGAAUUCAUGAUUGAAGGUAUCAAAUAAACUCAAUUUCAGAUUUUUUAUAAUAUUUUAUAAUUAUUAAAAAUGUGCAAUAUAGUUUCUAUACAGUUUCUAUUCGAAUAGAAAAAUAAUUAUAUGUUACAUAUAUAUAUUAUUGGAUUACAAGUAAAGUUGUACACGCAAACUAUGUUCAUCACUCGAAUCGUGUGACAAUCACUAAACAAGUAACACCGCUGUGAAUUCGAAAUCGGAUCGAAAAGCAACUCUUCAAUAUAUAUAGAAUUUUCGAGAUCAAUGAAUGUUACAAAUGCAUUAACCAUAAGACGAAAAAGAUGAACCGCAAAUUGUGGUUCAAAUCAACCGAUUAAAAUGGAACUAGCAGCUAUCGUGAUAGUAAUUAGAUCCAGUUCCAUUGGUUAAAUAGUUGCAAAUGAGAAAAUACCAUUGUCUAUCCGAUUCAAAUGUGUUGUAUGCGAUUUGGUGCAUAUAGGAAGAAAAUUCAUUCGAUUCACACUAAUAGUCUGUGCACGAGCACAAAUGCUAUUCAAUAUGGCUGUACGUGAUUGGAACGUGAAUGUUGAGAUAAAUCUCGUUCUCCAGAAUUGCAUCAUCAUUAUCAAAAUAUAUUCUGGACAAUUUAAGAAGAUGAUAUCAAAAUUUCAAAGAAACAAAUA